rnacentral:rRNA from 1 species
UCUGCUAAAGAGGAGGAAGGAAUGGGCAACGGUAGGUCAGCAUGCCCCGAAUUAUCCGGGCUACACGCGGGCUACAAUGGUCAGGACAAUGGGUAUCAACACCGAAAGGUGAAGGCAAUCUCCUAAACCUGUCCUUAGUUCGGAUUGUGGGCUGCAACUCGCCCACAUGAAGCUGGAAUCUGUAGUAAUCGCGUCUCAAAAUGGCGCGGUGAAUAUGUCCCUGCUCCUU